rnacentral:rRNA from 1 species
AUUGAACGCUGGCGGCAUGCUUUACACAUGCAAGUCGAACGGUAACAGGCCUUCGGGUGCUGACGAGUGGCGAACGGGUGAGUAAUGCAUCGGAACGUGCCCAGAGGUGGGGGAUAACGCAGCGAAAGCUGUGCUAAUACCGCAUGUGACCUGAGGAUGAAAGCGGGGGACCAAGCAGCAAUGUUUGGCCACGCGCCUCUGGAGCGGCCGAUGUCAGAUUAGGUAGUUGGUGGGGUAAAGGCCUACCAAGCCGACGAUCUGUAGCUGGUCUGAGAGGACGACCAGCCACACUGGGACUGAGACACGGCCCAGACUCCUACGGGAGGCAGCAGUGGGGAAUUUUGGACAAUGGGCGCAAGCCUGAUCCAGCAAUGCCGCGUGCGGGAAGAAGGCCUUCGGGUUGUAAACCGCUUUUGUACGGAACGAAAAGGCUCUGGCUAAUACCUGGGGCUGAUGACGGUACCGUAAGAAUAAGCACCGGCUAACUACGUG